UGAAAUGGACUGCAGUGUGCUCCAGUCUCCAGCAGGGGGGCAGUAAACCCCUAUGGACCUGAAAGGGACUGCAGUGUGCUCCAGUCUCCAUCAUCUGGCAGUAAAACCCUAUGGACCUGAAAGGGACUGCAGUGUGCUCCAGUCUCCAGCAGGGGGCAGUAAAACCCUAUGGACCUGAAAGGGACUGCAGUGUGCUCCAGUCUCCAGCAGGGGGCAGUAAAACCUUAUGGACCUGAAAGGGAAAGUGAGGAGUAAAAAUCAAAAGUGAAUUUACAUUGAUGUUUCCACGGAGACAUGAAUCAUAUCUACGAGGCACCAAACUGAAGAAAAUGAACUGAAACACGGAGGGACUAACUGAACUAAAAUAAUUCUGUUGCUAAAUGUUUUGCUACAGUGUUCUCUAAUCAAUAACACCCUGGAUUCAAAUACUAUUUGAAAUCUUUCCAACACUUUGAGCAUUUCCUUUGUCCUCCAGGUGGGCGGGGUUUGUUUGUACUUUUAGGACUUUUCUAUUGGUUCCAUUACAAAAAACUCAAACACUGCUAAUUAAAUAUUCAACAUUAUUUUAACGCAGGUCUGUUUCCACAUGCAAUAAGCCUGUAACGUCUUGUAUGAUCUCAUCAGGUAAAGGUGUGUCAAAUGGAAGGGCAAGUCUCACCACUGAGAGGAAAACAUCACUGGUCCACCUCUGCAUCAGGUCAGCUAUGUUGAUCAGUACUGUCCCAGGGAUGCUGGGAGCAGAGAUGAACUCCCUGACCUGGUACCACCUAUGGAGUUGUCAUUUUAAUAUCAGUUUAACCCCAUUACUGCUAUAACACAUAAACCAUGUUAAUAGAAUGAAAUGGAUCCAGGUUCCAUUUAUUCUACAUUAGAUUUACUGCCUGUGGAACACUUCUCCAUAGUGUCUGAAAUCAAGAUGACUGCAGGUCUGAAUCCCAAACUAAUGGGGGGAAAUGGAUCCAUCUAAUAAGAUGGUAUUUAGAGAAAUGUAGGGAAGCCAUCAAAACUAUGAAAUAACACAUAUGGAAUCAUGUAGUAACCAACAACGUGUUCAACAAAUCAAGUGGAGGCCCGGUCAUCUGAUGCAGCCCUUCAUCACUCUCCUUCUUGGUCAAAUAGCCCUUACACAGCCUGGAGGGGUGUUGGGUCAUUGUCCUGCUGAAAAACAAAUGAUAGUCCCACUAAGCACAAACCAGAUGGGAUGGCCUAUCGCUGCAGAAUGCUAUGGUAGCCAUGCUGGUUAAGUGUGCCUUGAAUUCUAAAUAAAUCACUGACAUUCACCAGCAAAGCACCAUCACACCUCCUCCUCCAUGCUUCACGAUGGGAGCCACACAUGCAGAGAUCAUCUGUUCACCUACUCUGCUCCUCACAAAGACAUCACACCUCCUCCUCCAUGCUUCACGGUGGGAACCACACAUGCAGAGAUCAUCUGUUCAUCUAAUCUGCUUCUCACAAAGACACAGUUGGAACCAGAUAUCUUAAAUUUGAACUCAUCAGACAAAAGGACAGAUUUCCACCGGUCUAAUGUCCAUUGCUCGUGUUUCUUGGCUCAAGCAAGUCUCUUCUUAUUAUUGGUGUCCAUUAGCAGUGGUUUCUUUGCAGCAAUUGAUAGUGAGGGUGUUUUCUGUUAACAGAAUGUGUUUCUUGUUAAAAGGCUGAAUAUCAAUAAAGGGAAUAAGCAAAGACACUG